UGACACAGGCACUUUACAACUAUACACUGG
rnacentral:piRNA from 1 species